rnacentral:rRNA from 1 species
GACGAACGCUGGCGGCGUGCUUAACACACGCAAGUCGAACGAUGAAGCUAGAGCUUGCUCUGGUGGAUUAGUGGCGAACGGGUGAGUAACACGUGAGUAACCUGCCCCGAACUCUGGGAUAACUGCUGGAAACGGUAGCUAAUACCGGAUAUGACCAAUGAAGGCAUCUUCUGUUGGUGGAAAGAAUUUCGGUUCGGGAUGGACUCGCGGCCUAUCAGCUUGUUGGUGAGGUAACGGCUCACCAAGGCGACGACGGGUAGCCGGCCUGGGAGGGGGAUCGGCCACACUGGGACUGAGACACGGACCAGACUCCUACGGGGGGCAGCAGUGGGGAAUAUUGCACAAUGGGCGCAAGCCUGAUGCAGCAACGCCGCGUGAGGGACGACGGCCUUCGGGUUGUAAACCUCUUUUAGUAGGGAAGAAGCGAAAGUGACGGUACCUGCAGAAAAAGCACCGGCUAACUACGUGCCAGCCGCCGCCGUAA